UAAGACGAACCGUGCGAACGUUGUUCGGAAUCACUGGGCUUAAAGGGCGCGUAGGCGGGCUCGCAAGUCCGGGGUGAAAGCCCCCAGCUCAACUGGGGAAGCGCCUUGGAUACUGCGGGCCUCGAGGGGGGUAGGGGCGUGCGGAACUUCCGGUGGAGCGGUGAAAUGCGUAGAUAUCGGAAGGAACACCGGUGGCGAAAGCGGCGCGCUGGACCCCUUCUGACGCUGAGGCGCGAAAGCCAGGGGAGCAAACGGG
rnacentral:rRNA from 1 species